UUGGAUAAAGUUUUCUUUUUCUAAAGACUACUUAAGUCGAAGUAAAAUUACAAGUUUGACCCUCAGCCUGAUUCUUCUAUUCAACCUAAGGCUCAGGACCUACUCCAUAUGGAGUGCGAUUGUCAUCACACUACCAUAUAUAAAAGUUUCAAGGCAAAGGUUACUCAAAGCAAACAUUGGGGGCUGCUAAGAGUACCUUCAAGUCAC
rnacentral:lncRNA from 1 species